CCGUCGCAGGACGGCGGUUUUCCUUCCCUCUUCUCAAUAGACCACCACACACACACACACCAAGAUCUCAAAACCCAAGAACGCAAUAUCACAGUUGUAAAGUUGUUCCAUCUUCUUCCUCCUGGUUUGUGCAUCCACCGCCGCCGAUUCGUGGCUGCAAUUUCAUCCUCCUUUAUGCUCCACACCUCGGCAUAUCCCCGUCACACUAUAUUUCAUUGCGGCAUCUUGCCGUCGUAUCAUAUUUCAUUGUCGCGUCUUGUCGUCGAUGCAUAACGCAGCGUAUGGGAAUAUCUAGAGUGGAAUAAACCAGUGUAUUGGGUCUGUGUUUGCUGAAUCAUUGGGGAUUCAAAUGGAGUUUGCAAUACUAGCUCUGAACAACAAUAUGCAUAUUAUAAUUUUCUUAUAAUUAGCAACUGAUGCUGCCGCAAUUGUCAUAUUAUAAUUUUCUUUUUGCAAGAUGUUGAUGUCUUAGAUUAUAAUUUGUUUUUGCUUAUAAUGUUAGGAGAAGCUUGAAUGUUGUAUCAUUGAUUAAAAAAAUAAUAAUCUGCUAACACAUCUGCAGCUUGAAUGUAAAUAGCAAACAGGUCACAAAAUAGCAAACAGCCACCAUAUGUCAAAAAACAUGUCACAAUCCAUAAAAAGAGUGUUACAAAACCGCCGCCUGUGACUGUCGGAAAGGGGCGUCGGCGGCGGUGGCAGUGGCUGGUAGCAGUGGUGACGAAGAAUAUGAAGUGGUGAUGAACAAGAUGGAAAGAUAAUGAAACACAGACUCCGUGUUUUGCAAUUUUGUUUGUUUUUAAUGUUUAAUUAUUUAACUAUAACCUUUAAAUGAUAGCCAUCAGAUAUCUUAGUGCCACAUGUCCUUGAUCUAGAAAAAGAAAAGGAGUAAAAGGAGCUAGGAGAAAAGGAGCAAAGCCAAACUC
rnacentral:lncRNA from 1 species